UCGGAGACUGGCCAAGAUCACCGCUUGCACCGCGCUGUUGGGCGAGGCCCGGUCCCGUCUCUUUCCCAGGCCUGAGAUUCUCGCCCGGCACGGCCGCCCUGAGCGCCCCGGCCACCCCCAGCCCCGGCUCGCCCCUCAGGCCCCGGGCCUCCCCUCAACCCCCGGCCGGCGGCCCAGGCCCCGGAUCCGCGGGGGGGGACCCGGCCCCGGGGGGUGCGGGCCCCAUGGAGCUGAUGUUUGCAGAGUGGGAGGACGGAGAGCGCUUCUCAUUCGAGGAUUCGGACCGUUUUGAGGAGGAUUCACUCUGUUCCUUCAUCUCCGAGGCCGAGAGCCUCUGCCAGAACUGGCGGGGAUGGCGCAAACAGUCAGCGGGGCCCAAUUCCCCCACUGGCGGCGGUGGCGGAGGUGGCAGUGGCGGUACCAGAAUGCGAGGUGAGAGUGAGCUGGGGGGAAGAGGAGCGGCAGGCCCUGCUUGGGCCUCGCUCGGGAGCUGUCCGGGACCAGGAGCUGUCCCCGACCAAGAGCUCUCUUCAACCAGGGGAAGAAAGGGGAGCUGUCCCCGGCCGGGAGCUGUCCCCGACUGGGAGCUGUCCCAAGCUUAGAACAGACUUCAGAACUCGCUUUUCCGGCCUUCCUGGGGUGGGCUGGCUUCUCCACACCUGUGUGUGGGUGUGGGGGUGUGUGUGUGUGUGUGUGUGCGCGCGUGCGCGCGCUGUGACAGGGAGAUCCUGUGGACAGAAAGUAAAUCUUUCGUCACUCCUUUGCCUUAGAGAGGGGAUAAGGGAGAAGAAUCUUGUCUUUGACUUGGGAAUACUUAAGUGAGUUCAGUCUGAGGCAUACCGGAAAGUAGAGAGAAGAGAAUGUGGGUAGGGGGCUGAUUGUGAAGAAGUGACCACUUGUGGCUUGUCACCGCAUUGCAAAGUGCAUUGGGAGCUUCUUGAUUCGGGGUGAUGAUCUCUGAUCCCAGAAGCACCAAGAAGGGAUCCCACCCAGAGGAAAAUAGAGGUGAACUGGCCUGCCAGAGAU
rnacentral:sRNA from 1 species